GUUGAACGCUGGCGGCAUGCCUUACACAUGCAAGUCGAACGGUAACAGGUCUUCGGAUGCUGACGAGUGGCGAACGGGUGAGUAAUACAUCGGAACGUGCCUAGUAGUGGGGGAUAACUACUCGAAAGAGUGGCUAAUACCGCAUGAGAUCUACGGAUGAAAGCAGGGGAUCGCAAGACCUUGUGCUACUAGAGCGGCCGAUGGCAGAUUAGGUAGUUGGUGGGAUAAAAGCUUACCAAGCCGACGAUCUGUAGCUGGUCUGAGAGGACGAUCAGCCACACUGGGACGGAGACACGGCCCAGACUCCUACGGGAGGCAGCAGUGGGGAAUUUUGGACAAUGGGCGAAAGCCUGAUCCAGCAAUGCCGCGUGCAGGAUGAAGGCCUUCGGGUUGUAAACUGCUUUUGUACGGAACGAAAAGCCCCGGGUUAAUACCCUGGGGUCAUGACGGUACCGUAAGAAUAAGCACCGGCUAACUACGUGCCAGCCGCCGCGGUAA
rnacentral:rRNA from 1 species